UACGGGGGGUGCGAGCGUUGUCCGGAAUCACUGGGCGUAAAGGGCGCGUAGGUGGCCUGAUAAGGGUGUGGUGAAAGUCCGGGGCUCAACCCCGGAUCUGCCGUGCCGACUGUUGGGCUGGAGUACUGUAGAGGCAGAUGGAAUUCCGGGUGUAGCGGUGGAAUGCGUAGAGAUCCGGAAGAACACCGGUGGCGAAGGCGGUCUGCUGGGCAGUUGCUGACACUGAGGCGCGACAGCGUGGGGAGCAAACAGG
rnacentral:rRNA from 1 species